GAGGAGGAGCCCGGAGAUGGGCACUGAGACAAGGGCCCAGGCCCUAUGGGGCGCAGCAGGCGCGAAACCUCUGCAAUAGGCGAAAGCUUGACAGGGUUACUCUGAGUGAUUUCCGUUAAGGAGAUCUUUUGGCACCUCUAAAAAUGGUGCAGAAUAAGGGGUGGGCAAGUCUGGUGUCAGCCGCCGCGGCAAUACCAGCACCCCGAGUGGUCGGGACGUUUAUUGGGCCUAAAGCAUCCGUAGCCGGUUCUACAAGUCUUCCGUUAAAUCCACCUGCUCAACAGAUGGGCUGCGGAAGAUACUAUGGAGCUGGGAGGCGGGAGAGGCAAGCGGUACUCGAUGGGUAGGGGUAAAAUCCGUUGAUCCAUUGAAGACCACCAGUGGCGAAGGCGGCUUGCCAGAACGCGCUCGACGGUGAGGGAUGAAAGCUGGGGGAGCAAACCGGAUUAGAUACCCGGGUAGUCCCAGCUGUAAACGAUGCAGACUCGGUGAUGAGUUGGCUUUAUGCCAACUCAGUGCCGCAGGGAAGCCGUUAAGUUUGCCGCCUGGGGAGUACGGUCGCAAGACUGAAACUUAA
rnacentral:rRNA from 1 species